CUUUUUGAGACUUCUGCACCAGGUAUGAACAAGUUACUACUUUGAGUGUAUUCAUUAAGGCCACUUAUAUAGACUGUUUAUGGUUUCAUUUUUCUAGAUGCUAUGUUUCAAAAGUAAUAAUAUAUUUUUUGCAAGUGUUUCAAAGGGUGUGGUUUAAUUUUUAGUGAGAACUGAGUAGUGAAAGAAUAGGUUAUUUACCAAGGAACACAAGCAGGAUUUCAGUGGCAUUGAUGAGACAUUGUUACAUGAUUGUAAAGCUUUAUAUUUAUGCUACCACAGAGAACUAUCAAGAUAGAGAUGAUGUACAUUACAGUAUGUACUGUAUGGUGAUACAUUAAAAUUUGUUGAAGGACUCAUAGUAAUAAUCAAUCUAUUGGGUCACUGAAGAAUAGAAUAAUCAUUAUAAUGAUAAUAAUUUAAAUAAUAAUUUUUUUAGUACUUAGCACAGUGCAUUCUUUCUUGUAAUAGUAGAUCUUCACUUUUUAGAACUAGAAUAUCGAUUGCAACUCUUA
rnacentral:lncRNA from 1 species